GAAUUGCUUCCGAGGAGAUGCCGGAACAUCACGAGAAUUUAGCGGAACCAUCAUAUGCUGAGCUUGACAGAUUGAAACAGCACAUUUUAAAAGGUCCGGAACCAAUCGUUGUGUUAGAAAGAUUGCAAGGAAGCGAAAUCGAUGAAAUGGCGAAAAAUGUGCAGAGCCUGUCUAAAGAAAGAACAAGU